GCAGACGACUUAGACGUGUAACCGGGUCGUGUAAGCAGUCGAGUAGCCUUGUUGUUACGAGCUGCUGAGCGUAAGCCCGUGUUACCUAGAUUUGU
rnacentral:ncRNA from 1 species